GACGAACGCUGGCGGCGUGCUUAACACAUGCAAGUCGAACGGAAAGGCCCUGCUUUUGUGGGGUGCUCGAGUGGCGAACGGGUGAGUAACACGUGAGUAACCUGCACUUGACUUUGGGAUAACUUCAGGAAACUGGGGCUAAUACCGGAUAGGAGCUCCUGAUGCAUGGUGGGGGUUGGAAAGUUUCGGCGGUUGGGGAUGGACUCGCGGCUUAUCAGCUUGUUGGUGGGGUAGUGGCUUACCAAGGCUUUGACGGGUAGCCGGCCUGAGAGGGUGACCGGCCACAUGGGGACUGAGAUACGGCCCAGACUCCUACGGGAGGCAGCAGUGGAGAAUAUUGCACAAUGGGCGGAAGCCUGAUGCAGCAACGCCGCGUGCGGGAUGACGGCCUUCUGGUUGUAAACCGCUUUCGCCUGUGACGAAGCGUGAGUGACGGUAAUGGGUAAAGAAGCACCGGCUAACUACGUG
rnacentral:rRNA from 1 species